CCUGAAAGGGUUGUGCAACCGGGGCAUUCCGUCACCAGCCCUAGCUGUGAGGAUGGGGGUAAGGUGCCCAUAGAUGUUUGAGAAAAAAAUACGCGUGGAAAGGCGUGUUGAGAUUUAGCUGGUAAGAGACUUAGAGCAACGAAGCAAACUGCUGGAGGCCGAGCUCGAAGCCCUGCGGUGGCCUGGGAGAUCUGUAUCGAGAGCGGCUGCUGAAGCUGUGCAGAACCAGGGACCUUAGGAAAGUGCACAGGGAUAUGGAGGCUGUCACUUCAGCUCGCAUCUCCCUGGAGAAACAGCUGGAUAAUCUGGAGGCUGAAAUUGCAUUCCUGCAGAGAGUACACAGCGAGAAUAGGCAAUCGAAGAUUUGAUGAAACAGAGCUACAGUGCUUCAGCGCGUGUUGAUGUCUCCUGCUCAAUCCCAGACCUGGCUCCUGCUCUGAGGGACAUUCAGAUAGAGUCUGAAGGAAUUGCAGCCAAGAACCUGCAGGAAAUAGACGAAUGGUACAAAACCAGAUUUCUUGACUUUAAUCAACCUUCCACAAAACAUGCCGAGAAUUUGAGACGUUCAGGAAGAAAUAGGGAACUGCAAAAGAAGUGAGAAAACACAAACACUGCAAGAGGAACUGAAAUCAAUGAAGGAGAAAAUUGCCCUCCAUCUGUGUGACUAGCAAAAUCUCCUGCACGUGAAAAAAUGGCUUUGGACGUUGAGAUCGCCACAUAUAAGUUAUGGUGCUGAUGAAGAAGCAGAUUUAUGCCAGAUUCACACGUGAUCCUCGUUCGCUUGUUUGUGCUUUCUUUGGCUUUCGGGGUCUCCUUCAUUCCACAGUCUCUCUCAAUGCUAGGUGCUUUUUGGUUUUUUUAAGGAAGCUGAUUGAAAGUGAGGAUAGAAGAACUGGUGACCUCUCUGAGUGGGCUCCAUCUCAUAGGCAGGAUGACAGGCCAUGGGCAGGGCAGUACCAUUGAAAACAUUGCCGAAGGUCAGGCUGAGCCUGUAGAUAUCACCCUCAGCAAACCUGUGCUUAUCAGGUAAAGGAGCCAUUUCCACCUGGAUAGGGACAGAUAGGAAAAAGAUAUGACAAAAAUGCAAGGGAAUAACAGAAACUUUGAGAUUCACAGGGAUGGGGGAAAUCGUGUGUAAUUAUUGGGAACCACACUCUUCAAUGUACUAUUUUCUCUCACAAGCCGAAGUAAUGACUGAUCGAAGUUCUAAUGUAACAUGCCCCGAGAAUAAUCCACUCAGGCUUGCACUAUAUGUAUUUAAAAGUAUUUCUGACCCUGUAUCUUCAGCUGAAUUUGCACCAUUCCUAGUGCGUUGGCACAGUGUAGGAAGUCGUGUCUGUGAUUUGCACAGGGGUUAUUACUGCUUCAUUAGUACCUUUGAAUAUUCAUUAUUUUUGCCCCGCCGGUUUUCAUUCAUUACUAGUAUCUUCCCCUUAAAACAGUUGAAACAGAAAAGCAUAAUCCAGGAAGACACCCGAAAAGGAUGCUAAGGAUUACUGGUGCUACUGCUGCUGAGAGCUAAGAAGAAUACAUCACUAUGAUAAUUUGCUUGGGAUCAAAGAAAAGAGAGUCAAAUGCCACACGCUUCAAUCUUUCUAACUUUAGCGCCUUUAGUCAAACCGCAUUUCCAAACUAUGCAUGGUUUUUAAACCUGGUUUGUCGCUUUUA